CACGCAGGCGGUCGUGCCAGUUUCCUCUGACAGGUUGGAGCUUAACUCUGACAGGCGAGGAAAGACGACACGACUUGAGGACUUCAGAGGGACGUGGAAUUCCAGGUGGAGCGGUGAAAUGCGUAGAGAUCUGGAAGAACACCAAAGGCGAAGGCAACGUCCUGGGAAGUCACUGACGCUCAAGUGCGAAAGCUAGGGGAGCGAACGGGAUUAGAUACCCCGGUAGUCCUAGCCGUAAACGAUGACCACUAGACGAGGGAGGCUUCGACCCCUUCCGUGUCGCAGCUAACGCGAUAAGUGGUCCGCCUGGGGAGUACGGUCGCAAGAUUAAA
rnacentral:rRNA from 1 species